UGUCGUCAGCUCGUGUUGUGAAAUGUUGGGUUAAGUCCCGCAACGAGCGCAACCCUUAUCCUUUGUUGCCAGCGGUCCGGCCGGGAACUCAAAGGAGACUGCCAGUGAUAAACUGGAGGAAGGUGGGGAUGACGUCAAGUCAUCAUGGCCCUUACGACCAGGGCUACACACGUGCUACAAUGGCGCAUACAAAGAGAAGCGACCUCGCGAGAGCAAGCGGACCUCAUAAAGUGCGUCGUAGUCCGGAUUGGAGUCUGCAACUCGACUCCAUGA
rnacentral:rRNA from 1 species